GCGGCUUAAUUUGACUCAACACGGGGAAACUUACCCGGCCUGGACACUGGAAGGACUGACAGAUUGAGAGCUCUUUCUUGAUUCAGUGGGUGGUGGUGCAUGGCCGUUCUUAGUUGGUGGAGCGAUUUGUCUGGUUAAUUCCGAUAACGAACGAGACUCUAGCCUAUUAAAUAGGCUCCCGGCUUUUAAACGCCGGGAGGACUUCUUAGAGGGACAGGUGGCGGUUCAGCCGCACGAAAGAGAGCAAUAACAGGUCUGUGAUGCCCUUUGUUGCCCGGGGCCGCACGCGCGCUACACUGAAGAGAUCAGCGUGCUUUAUGUUCCUGCUCCGACCGGAGUGGGGAACCCAGUGAACCUUCUUCGUGAUUGGGAUAGAAGAUUGUAAUUAUUCUUCUUGAACGAGGAAUUCCCAGUAAAUGCGAGUCAUAAGCUCGCGUUGAUUACGUCCCUGCCCUUUGUACACACCGCCCGUCGCUACUACCGAUUGAACGAUUUAGUGAGGUCUUCGGACUGACCGACGCAGCCAUCUUCGGGUGGCCGCGUUGUGUUGGAAAGAUGCCCAAACUUGAUCGUUUAGAGGAAGUAAAAGUCGUAACAAGGUUUUCGUAGGUGAACCUGCGGAAGGAUC
rnacentral:rRNA from 1 species